rnacentral:lncRNA from 1 species
UUUGUACCUGUGCCUUCAUUAGCACAGGAUUUCAGAAAAUUCUGAUAUAAACGUAUUCUCAUUUCUGUAGAUUUAAGGUAUAUGAAAAUUUGGCUUCACGUAGCUCUCACUAUUCUAUGGAAUAUUUUUCCUGCCCUAGAUAAUAUCAUUCCUGAUAAUAUGGCCAUAUGAAUACAGAGAUUUAAAUGUCUUUUCAAUGAAGCUAAUUUUUAUGGAGCAAGGCUCAGCAUCCCAAGACACAUAAGAGAAACAUACUCUUUUGUUUUUCCUUCUUGAAGCCUAUUAAGUGUUCUUUCUGCUCUUAAUGUUAGAUGACAAGAAAACCUAGAGUUUGUUGAUUAUGUCAGAUUGGAAGGCAAAAGAACAUUUUAGUCAGGGGGCUGCAGCAGAAAUCUGAAUCCACUGCAAAGAGCAAACAGUCCCCUAUGAUCAUAACAGGACUGUCUGAUGUUCUACACAACAAUUCAGCCAGUUGGUAUCAGAACCAGAGCUUCUGCUACUUCUGGGGCAGUGACAAAGUCCAAGAAAUAUUCUUGAAGAUGUGGGCUCCAGUCACAUGUUGGAAAGUUUUUCUGAUUAAAAAAUAAAUUAUGAGCAUUAAUAAAAGUGAAAAUUUGAAUAAAAUA